rnacentral:rRNA from 1 species
UACGGGGGGGGCAAGCGUUGUUCGGAAUUACUGGGCGUAAAGGCUCGUAGGCGGCCAACUAAGUCGGAUGUGAAAUCCCCAGGCUCAACCUGGGAACUGCAUCCGAUACUGGAUGGCUUGAAUUCGGGAGAGGGAUGCAGAAUUCCAGGUGUAGCGGUGAAAUGCGUAGAUAUCUGGAGGAAUACCGGUGGCGAAGGCGGCAUCCUGGACCGACAUUGACGCUGAGGAGCGAAAGCUAGGGGAGCAAGCGGGG